CGACCACUUUAAAAAUUACCGAAUUAUUUAACUAUUUUUAAAAAUUUCAGAGUGUUCACUUUUAGACGCCCACACAUGUAUUUAUAUAACUCUAUUAAUAAUUAUAUUGAGGGUAUAUCAGUAGAACCAGCUUAAAUUUUACUAUUUCUUCUUUAAGGGUAAAUAUUAAAAUUUCACAGUCUUUAAUUUUUAUUAUUUCCUAACAGGAUCCUGUUAUAUCUCAUAUGGUACCCUAAUAUGGACAUAAGGACAAUAUUAUUUGUGGAGUGAACGUCGUCCAUUGUUGGAGGUGCUUCAGGAAUAGAAAAUUCUGAUGUAGUUUAUUUUGAAGAAGUUUGAUAAACUUUUACGAAUUUUGGAAACAAAUCAUCUGGAAAAGUUGUGUAUGGGUAUAGAUUUUAUUCGUGUAAAAUAUGAGCCCGAUGGAAUGGGUUUCCCAGGUUGUUCCUCAAUAUAUACGCAUUUUUAUGUUAUACACUCUAUCGUAAAGACAAGAUAACUUACUUACUUAUAUGAUGAUUAACUAAUUAUUAGAUAUUGAUAAUUAUUAAUAAUUGUUUUUAUGGUUUAAUUUACAUGUUAUUGUAACGCUCUUGAUGUAUAAAAAUGAAAAUGACACAAUAUUUAAUAGAAAAUAAACAAAAUCAGUAUGAAACAAA
rnacentral:lncRNA from 1 species